UAAUCAACCAAGUGCUCAGAAGUAAUCAGAAAAGAUACAUCUAUAACUGCUGCUGCUAUUUCCAUUUUCAUUCCAACUUUUGCGGAAGGACACCUUUUUUUUUAAAAUAGAAAAACGACAUGAGGCCAGUUGCGUGCUGUAUCCUUACGCCUUCCGUUUGCGUUGUUGUGAGCGUCGUCAGUUUCCCUUUUGCUAACAACCAGCCUCUGUUUAAAGUUUAAACUCAAGGUGAUAUUACCAUUCCACCUUUAACAGCAGGCCAAGGCCCCGGAAUUAGUUUUUCGUGCGCGAAAACUCUGCACGUCUGUUCGACGGGUGACUGACCAGCGCAUCCAAACCAAAGGGAGUUGAAGACUGGAUACACGUGGAACCCAGUUCGGUUAAUAAACUCCAGAACCAGCCUGGCGUGCCCUUUGCUGUAUAUGACCUGCUGGCCUGCUGCACAGCCACAGCCCUCUGCAUGCCACAACAGCUCUGAAGCACAGUUUCACCACACAAAUUCACAUCAUCAGUGAGACAGCUGCAUCAAAUUGAGCGUGUUUCGCCCGGUUGGCGGCAGUGAGUGUUUUGCAGCCCUCGGUGCAGCCGGGCCUUUAAGCAGCAAAAACAAUCUGUGUUGUUACACUCCGUGAGGUGGCGGCUCUAAUGCAGAAUUGUUUGAACACCAAAUUGAAUAUGCGUAUAUAUGUGUGUAUAUGCUAUGACUCCUUGCUAGAAAAUAAUAUAAAAACGUUCCAUUCAAAUGAUUCAACAUCUGAAAGGAGUGAAAUUUGUACAGAUUUGUAUAUAUUCUGCCAUUUCUAUUGACAUUGUUUACUACAUUGUGUCUUCAAACAUGUAAUGCAGACGUUAAAUCAUCAUUAUAUUCCCAUGCUGUCUGCUGUUUUUUUUUUACCUUUUGAAAUUACCCAUGUCUAAUUCCCCUUUUGUAAACAGCCAUUAUACUCCCUGAAGUGUGACUUUAAGCUGAGGAGUCUUCCUGUCCCAGUAGGGGUUUACAGUCAAUGAAGGUGGAGACAGUUUGACCUAGUUCAUUACACUGCAGGCAGGCAGAGGCAGGAAGGCCAGCGUCUCCUCUGGGGCAUUUCACGGCUCUCUCUACUUUAAGAGGUUUCCUUAGUGACUCAGUGAAGUAUAGUGACCUCAGCUGACAUUCAUUUGAAGCAAGACUCUUAAACAUGU